GACGUAGGGCGCGAGCGUUGUCCGGAAUUACUGGGCGUAAAGAGCUCGUAGGUGGUUUGUCGCGUUGUUCGUGAAAACUCACAGCUUAACUGUGGGCGUGCGGGCGAUACGGGCAGACUCGAGUACUGCAGGGGAGACUGGAAUUCCUGGUGUAGCGGUGGAAUGCGCAGAUAUCAGGAGGAACACCGGUGGCGAAGGCGGGUCUCUGGACAGUAACUGACGCUGAGGAGCGAAAGCGUGGGGAGCGAACAGG
rnacentral:rRNA from 1 species